rnacentral:misc_RNA from 1 species
CCUAGAGUUGUAGGCUUUGCCUGCUAUCUCUUACCCAUGUCUUUUGAGUACCUUCGUUUCCUCGGCGGGUCCGCCCGCCGAUUGGACAAUUUAAACCAUUUGCAGUUGCAAUCAACGUCUGAAAAAACUUAAUAGUUA